AACGAACGCUGGCGGCGUGGAUUAGGCAUGCAAGUCGAACGCGAAAGAGGGGGCAACCCCUUGAGUAGAGUGGCGAACGGGUGAGUAACGCGUGAGAAACCUGCCUUCGACAGGGGGAUAACACUCCUAACGGGGUGCUAAUACCGCAUGAGACCACGGAGUCGCAUGGCUCCGAGGUCAAAGGUGGCCUCUAUUUAUAAGCUACCGGUCGAAGAUGGUCUCGCGUCCCAUUAGCUAGUUGGCGGUGUAAAAGACCACCAAGGCGACGAUGGGUAGCUGGUCUGAGAGGAUGGUCAGCCACACUGGGACUGAGAUACGGCCCAGACUCCUACGGGAGGCAGCAGUCGAGAGGCUUCGGCAAUGGGGGAAACCCUGACCGAGCGACGCCGCGUGAGUGAUGAAGGCCUUCGGUUGUAAGACUCUGUGGAGGGGACGGAAUAAGGGUUGGCGUAAUAUCCAGCUCGAUGACGGUACCCCUUUACGUCAAGCACCGGCUAACU
rnacentral:rRNA from 1 species